rnacentral:ncRNA from 2 species
GCGGCGCAGUCAGGAGAGAGCUUCCCCGGAAGCCGCCGAAGGCGCAGAGCGGAACCCCGCUCGAACGCUCAGGCAAAAGGACUGACGCUCGUCC